GGGUGGUUAAAACUAAAAGACACUAGAGGUUAUUUGUCAUACUGAUGGGCCUAAGGUUACACAAGUCUACAGAAGAAGGAAAAGUAGAGUUGAGGGCAAAGUGGGAAAUGUGGAAGAGACACAUGGGUGUAACUAACNGGACACGUGUCUUGCUGAGAGGGGAGGGGAGUAUAUUGGUGGGGAUUUGGAGGUGUGAGNGGGGGGGCAAUCAUUGGGUGGAUAGUGACGUUAGUUACAGGGCAGAGAGGAAUAUCCUUCUCUGAUUUUCUUCUUUUGCAGGGGUUUCCCUUUUUGGGUGCAAUCUUGUACUGAUGAGUAUACCAGUACAGUGACUAUAGAUAGAUUGCACUUCCAUAUUUCUUGUUCUUCUACUUUUCACUCUCUUAAUUCCUCUUAUUUUCUUAUUUUAUCUGGUAUCUAACAAGUUGGUAUUAGAGCUCCCGGUCCUGGGAGCUUCUGAAUGGUCUCAACCAGAAUGGAGAAUCGGAUUGAGAUGGUGGAGAAGAGGAUCGAAGAGUUGGGGGUGUCAUUUCAAACACAGCUCAGGGAAGCAAUACGGUUGCAAACUGAAGAAAUGAUGAAGAUGAUGGCAGACCGUUUGGAAGAGACAAUAGGGGAGAUGCGGGGGUGGAGGAGAGAGGUAGAGGGAGACACCGUUCACCGGAGGGAUAGUUACAGGGAGGAAGAAUCAAGGAGGGAAGCGCGUGUCAAGCGCGUGGAGGUUCCCUUCUUCUCAGGAGACGAUCCUCACGGUUGGGUAUACAGGGUCGAACGUUAUUUUGAGGUUAANCGUGUACCCGAGGCUGAGAAGGUUGACACCGCNGUGGUUUGCCUUGAGGGGAAGGCUCUAAACUGGUACCAGUGGUGGGAGUCCAGAAUGGUGGUUGNAGUGACGUGGCAGAUGUUUCGGCAGGCUCUCAUGGGGCGGUUUCAGGUGGCUUCAUCUGAAAACCCGUAUGAGGUGUUGAUGGGGUUGAGGCAGAGAGGAUCGGUGUUGGAGUACCGGGAACAAUUUGAGUUGCGAUCUGCUCCUCUUCGUUUUGCUGAUGAGGAAUUCAUGAAGGGAGUGUUUAUGAACGGGUUGAAGGAAGACAUCAAGGCGGAGGUCAGGUUGAUGGGUUCUGGUGAUCUCCAUGUGUUAAUGGAGGUGGCUCAAAAGGUGGAAGAAAGGAACCAGGUUUUGGGACGCAGCAUGGGCUUUGCGGGUCGGGGAAGUGGACCGGGUAUGACCCGAUCCGCAUUACCUAAUAGAUGGGCUGGCCCAAGUGAAACUAAAGAGUGGGUGGUUGGGCCCAAUUUCUCACAAGGGGGAUCAAUACAUCAGAAGCAGUUAGGAGGGAAAGGUGAGAACGCUCAUUCCAAAUCCCCAACGUUUUCUCGUGAAGGAAGCACAUCCAGUUCUAACCGUCGUGGCAUGGGAUACAAAAGGCUGACGGAAGAGGAGGAGAAUGAGAAAAGACGAAGGGGGCUCUGUUUUCGUUGUGAUGAACGCUAUAGCCCUGNACACGUGUGUCGUAACAAGCAACUUCAUGUGAUUUUGCUGGGCCAGGAAGAAGGAGUCGAGGAGGAUGAGGUUCCAUCUGAGAAAGAAGAGGGAGACGAAGUCAAUUUGCAGUUGAAUGUGAGCAGCAUUGCGGGUAUGACUUCAAAAAAUUCUUUGAAGCUUUGGGGCACUAUCAAGGGGAACAAGGUGAUUGUCAUGGUUGAUUCAGGCGCAUCACAUAAUUUUCUGUCUCCCAGAGUUGUUGGCGAAUUGGGUAUACANAUAGAAGAGACCAGAGGGUAUUUUGUGGAAGUUGGCAAUGGACANNGGUUGGGAAGCCAAGGUGUUUGUAGAAAUGUCGAGUUACAGCUUCCUACACUAAUGGUGAAACAAGACUUCUACCUAUUUGAGUUAGUAGGUGUUGAUGUAAUUNUGGGCUAUGAAUGGUUGAAGAGCUUGGGCAAAUUCAGUGCAGAUUUGGGUAAACACNUGUUGGAAAUUCAGGGGGAUGGGACGAUCAUUGAGGUUCGUGGAGAUCCGGUUCUGUCCAGAACAGUGGCGUCCUUGAAGGCAGUAAUGAAGGAACUGAGAAAUGAGGGUGAGGCGUACUAUGUUGAGUUGGGGAUGAUGAGCAUGUGGGUUCCUUCCAAUUGGGACACGCCUAUUAGUGUACAGCAACUGGUGGAAGAGUAUGCUGAUCUCUUUCAGGAACAGAGAGGGCUUCCCCCGCGNAGAAGUUGUGAUCAUGCUAUAGUGUUGAAGGAAGGGGCANCAAUUCCUAACNUUCGACCCUACCGGCAUCCACACNGUCACAAGGAGGAAAUUGAGAAGUUUGUGAAGGAUAUGUUGGAAGCAGGUAUGAUUAGGCCUAGUGUUAGUCCUUUUUCUAGUCCUUUAAUUCUUGUGAAGAAAAAAGAUGGAAGUUGGAGGUUUUGCGUGGACUACCGAGCUCUCAACAGUGUCACGAUUCCAAACAAAUUUCCCAUUCCCGUGAUAGAGGAGUUGUUGGAUGAACUUGGAGGAGCUACGGUGUUUUCUAAGCUGGACUUAAAAUCCGGGUACCAUCAAGUACGAAUGAAGGAGGCGGACAUACCCAAAACAGCGUUCCGUACUCAUGAGGGACACUAAGAAUACUUAGUGAUGCCGUUCGGCCUCACCAACGCCCCGUCGACAUUCCAAGCUUUGAUGAAUGAUGUGUUUCGACCAUUUAUGAGGAAGUUUGUAUUGGUCUUUUUCGACGACAUCCGCAUAUAUAGUCAAGACAUGGGCACUCAUACUAGCCACUUACAGCAGGUGUUUCAGAAAAUGCGUGAGCAUGAGCUUUGGGUAAAUCGCAAAAAGUGCAACUUCGGGGUAAAGUAGCUGGAGUAUUUGGGUCAUUUGAUUUCAGGAGAGGGCAUCAAGGCUGACCCAAGCAAAAUCGAGGCUAUGGUUGCAUGGCCUGAACCCAAGGAUAUUCAGAGCUUGAGGGGAUUUCUUGGACUCACUGGGUAUUAUCGCAGAUUUGUGAGGAAUUAUGGGAUGAUUGCCAAACCGUUGACUCAAUUGUUGAAGAAGAAUGGGUUCUUGUGGUCGGUGGAAGCUAAAUCUGCUUUCAAUGAACUCAAAUCAGCGAUGACAAGCCUGCCCACGUUGGCCAUGCCCAAUUUUGAUUUGCCCUUCGUCAUCGAAACUGAUGCGUCGGGCUGUGGAUUAGGGGCGGUUUUGAUGCAGCAGGGAAGACCACUGGCUUUUAUUAGUCAAGCUUUAUCCGAGAAAGCCAAGGCCCGUUCUGUUUAUGAGAGGGAGUUGAUGGCUAUUGUGCUUGCUGUACAAAAGUGACGUCAGUACCUCUUGGGACACCAUUUUAUCAUUCGCACGGAUCAAAAAAGUUUGAGGUUUCUCUUAGAGCAAAGGGUGCUGGCUGGUGAUCAAUUGAAAUGGGUCACGAAAUUGAUGGGGUAUGACUUUGAGAUCCAGUACAAACCGGGGGCGGAUAAUCGCGUCGCGGAUGCACUCUCCAGGGUGAUGACAUACAGUUCCAUCUCAGUGAUUACGAAUUCAGAUUUGAUUGAGUUAGCGGAAGAAUUGGUGAGGGAUGAGAAAUUAAGGGGGCUGAUGCAAGAAGUCAUUCGUGAUCCGAAAACGCAUCCAACAUAUGCAGUGGCACAGGGCUGUUUAUGGCACAAAGGGCGAUUGGUACUUCCUCAAAAUUCGAGACGGAUUCCAUUAUUGUUGGAGGAAUUCCAUGCUUCUCCAUGGGGGGGUCAUUCGGGAGUUANUAGAACUUACAAACGGCUGGCCAUGGUUUUCUUUUGGAAAGGGAUGCGAAAGGAUAUUGAAAGGUUUGUGUUAGACUGUGNUGUUUGUCAACGACACAAAUAUUAGGCCCUUAAACCAGCAGGAUUGCUUCAGCCCUUGCCUAUUCCGAAUAAGGUAUGGGAGGAUUUGUCGAUGGAUUUUAUUGGUGGCUUACCGAAGGCGAAAGGUGCUGACACGAUUAUGGUGGUAGUGGAUCGCUUAAGUAAAUCCGCUCAUUUCAUGCCNUUACAACAUCCUUAUUCCGCAACUGAUGUGGCUCNAGUAUUUGUGAAGGAGGUAGUUAGGCUACAUGGGUUUCCUCGGUCAAUGGUGUCCGAUCGAGACAGGGUGUUUAUAAGUUUGUUUUGGAAGGAGCUGUUUCGUUUGGNAGGAACUAAGCUGCAUUUUAGCUCUGCCUAUCAUCCCCAAACGGAUGGGCAAACCGAAGUCGUUAAUAGAACGGUUGAGACGUAUCUGCGAUGCUUUGUGAGUGGCCAUCCGAAACAAUGGGUUCAGUGGUUGUCGUGGGCANAGUUAUGGUUUAAUUGCUCCUAUAAUGCCUCUAUCAAAAUGAGCCCCUUUAAGGCGCUGUAUGGCUGUGAUCCUCCGACUAUAGUGUCGUUCCGUCAAGAGACCACAGUUGUGGCUGNUGUGGAUCAGUUAUUAGCAAGUCGUGAUACUAUUUUGCUAGAGCUUAAGCAGAAUUUGGUGAAGGCACAGCUGAGGAUGCGGGAACAGGUGGAUAAACAUAGGAGGGAAGUGGAAUUUGAAGUCGGUGACAUGGUGUAUUUGAAGUUUCAGCCAUAUAAGUUCCGUUCAUUGGCAAGAAAAGAAAAUGAGAAGUUGAGCCCUCGUUUUUAUGGACCGUUUGAGAUAGAGGAGAGAAUUGGGGCGGUGGCGUAUAAACUCAAACUCCCGGAAUAUUCGCGUGUGCACCCGGUUUUCCAUGUGUCCCAAUUAAAAAGGGCACCUCCAACUAGUAUUCCAGGCCAGCAACUUUCGGCAGGGCUUACGGAGGAAUGGGAGUUACAGGUGGUGCCGGAAUCAGUGCUCGCUAUGCGACAGCUCAUAAAUGGGAAGAUAGAAGUNUUGAUCAAAUGGGUGCACCUUCCACAACAUGACAGCACUUGGGAAGAGUUUGAAUUAGUGAAGCAGGCCUUCCCAGACUUCCACCUUGAGGACAAGGUAUUGCUGGUUGGGGAGGGAAUUGAUGGGCCUAAGGUUACACAAGUCUACAGAAGAAGGAAAAGUAGAGNUGAGGGCAAAGUGGGAAAUGUGGAAGAGNCACAUGGGUGUAACUAACNGGACACGUGUCUUGCUGAGAGGGGAGGGGAGUAUAUUGGUGGGGAUUUGGAGGUGUGAGGGGGGCAAUCAUUGGGUGGAUAGUGACGUUAGUUACAGGGCAGAGAGGAAUAUCCUUCUCUGAUUUUCUUCUUUUGCAGGGGUUUCCCUUUUUGGGUGCAAUCUUGUACUGAUGAGUAUACCAGAGACACAUGGGUGUAACUAACUGGACACGUGUCUUGCUGAGAGGGGAGGGGAGUAUAUUGGUGGGGAUUUGGAGGUGUGAGGGGGGCAAUCAUUGGGUGGAUAGUGACGUUAGUUACAGGGCAGAGAGGAAUAUCCUUCUCUGAUUUUCUUCUUUUGCAGGGGUUUCCCUUUUUGGGUGCAAUCUUGUACUGAUGAGUAUACCAGUACAGUGACUAUAGAUAGAUUGCACUUCCAUAUUUNUUGUUCUUCUACUUUUCACUCUCUUAAUUCCUCUUAUUUUCUUAUUUUAUCUGGUAUCUAACACAUACAAAGUACCAAUAACGCAUAGAAGAAAAUUUUUAUAAUAUUGCUGUUCAACCAACUGUGUGAAUGUUGGACUUCAACAGGACAAGAGAAAAAAGUGAGCACAAUAAACGAGAAUGAUAAGAUGAAUGUUAUAUAAGAACAAGAUGGUAUGGAAUAAUUCUACACAAGAAAAUUUUGGUGCAAGACCUUUCGGGAAGACAACAUAAAAACUAUUAAGAUGAUUUCAAUAUGAGCAAAAAAGAAAACUAGAGGCAACGACGAAGGUGAGUAAAUCACAUAAAUUUUAUUCAUGUAAAGAGGAAAACAAGCAGGACAUUGACAGAAAUUAUUGAAAAGGAUCUUAUGGUGAGAAUAACAUCCUUGAACCCAAUGGUGACAUGUAAUCCCUGCAGUCAACCUGGACUAUUGAAAUAAGGCUAUUGUUGUCAUCAAUGUUAUUGUAUAGGAGUAAAUUAGAAAAAAUUUAGAAAAUUAAGAUAAA
rnacentral:lncRNA from 1 species